CUCCAGCAGACCCUCCCUCCCAGACCCUCCCACCUGAGGUCUGGGUGGGAGGGUCUGGGAGGGAGGGUCUGCUGGAG